rnacentral:rRNA from 1 species
GACGAACGCUGGCGGCGUGCCUAAUACAUGCAAGUUGAGCGAUGAAGAUUGGUGCUUGCACCAAUUUGAAGAGCAGCGAACGGGUGAGUAACGCGUGGGGAAUCUGCCUUUGAGCGGGGGACAACAUUUGGAAACGAAUGCUAAUACCGCAUAACAACUUUAAACAUAAGUUUUAAGUUUGAAAGAUGCAAUUGCAUCACUCAAAGAUGAUCCCGCGUUGUAUUAGCUAGUUGGUGAGGUAAAGGCUCACCAAGGCGAUGAUACAUAGCCGACCUGAGAGGGUGAUCGGCCACAUUGGGACUGAGACACGGCCCAAACUCCUACGGGAGGCAGCAGUAGGGAAUCUUCGGCAAUGGAAGAAAGUCUGACCGAGCAACGCCGCGUGAGUGAAGAAGGUUUUCGGAUCGUAAAACUCUGUUGGUAGAGAAGAACGUUGGUGAGAGUGGAAAGCUCAUCAAGUGACGGUAACUACCCAGAAAGGGACGGCUAACUACGUG